GACGAACGCUGGCGGCGUGCCUAAUACAUGCAAGUAGAACGCACAGUUUAUACCGUAGCUUGCUACACCAUAGACUGUGAGUUGCGAACGGGUGAGUAACGCGUAGGUAACCUGCCUGGUAGCGGGGGAUAACUAUUGGAAACGAUAGCUAAUACCGCAUAAUAUUAAUUAUUGCAUGAUAAUUAAUUGAAAGGUGCAAUUGCACCACUACCAGAUGGACCUGCGUUGUAUUAGCUAGUAGGUGAGGUAACGGCUCACCUAGGCGACGAUACAUAGCCGACCUGUGAGGUUGAUCGGCCACCCUGGGACUGAGACACGGCCCAGACUCCUACGGGAGGCAGCAGUAGGGAAUCUUCGGAAAUGGACGAAAGUCUGACCGAGCAACGCCGCGUGAGUGAAGAAGGUUUUCGGAUCGUAAAGCUCUGUUGUGAGAGAAGAACGGGUGUGAGAGUGGAAAGUUCACACUGUGACGGUAUCUUACCAGAAAGGGACGGCUAACUACGUG
rnacentral:rRNA from 1 species